GGACGGACGGGCUCCGGAACGGGGGCGUCAUUGCGGCUGAUUUAACGGAACGCGGCGUAGGCAGAAAGGAUCAACUCCGGAACAAAUGGCGUUACGAUUUAUCUAAUUAAUCAUAUAGUUUUGUACGUACUAUAAUUCUAUUAUUGCACAUCGUGCGAAUAUAAUGUGAAAAGGAGAUCUGACAACUCGGAAAUAAAUCAGAUUUAAGGGAGGUAUCAAGCUUUGGUGGAGCAACUUUGCGGUAAGCAUUAAUUCUU
rnacentral:lncRNA from 13 species